AUGGGGAACUCGACCCUCACCGACAUGACGCUCCUGCCCGGCGUCGAGACGAUCGUGGCGGGGCUGGCCGCCGGCUCCUCCUCCCCGGGCCAGGAUGGCAAGGUCAAGAAGAAGCCCAUGAAGUCCCUCUACCUCAAGUUCUUCGACACGGCGCCCGACGGCAAGUCCCGCAUCUGCAGGCUCUGCAGGAAGAGCUACUGCAUGACCACUGCCACGGGGAAUUUGGGAAAGCAUCUUAAUAACCGCCACCCUGGUUAUCACCAACUUCCUGAAGGCCCCAGCUUCACUGCUCAGAGUACCGUACAGACUACCAUGGUUACUAGAAGCGAGAAACCUCAUGUUCCAGUGCGAGCUCGGGCCCAAGCACAGCCUCAAGUUCAAAGUCAAUCUCAAAUUCAAGAUCAACCUCAAGCUAAAGUUCAUUCUCAACCUAAGACGAAACCAACUGUUGAUGUUGACCAUGUCAACUGGUUACUUCUUAGGUGGCUUAUUGGCUCCUCCCUUCCGCCUUCCACCCUUGAAGAUAAUAUGCUUAUUGACAGUUGCAAGUACCUGAGCUCGUCUGUCAGGCUUUGGCCAAAAGAAAAGGUUCAAGAAAUUACCCUAGAGGUGUUCAGAAGUAUGAAGGAGGAUGUCAAGGCAUCUCUGCAACAUAUCAGUUCCCGGCUCUCUGUUACUCUGGACUUUUGGACUUCGUACGAGAAAAUCGUAUACAUGUCCGUCAAGUGCCAUUGGAUUGAUGAAAACUGGGUCUCGCAGAAAGUUCUACUUGAUGUGUGUCGUAUCCCAUACCCAUGCACUGGCCCCAAGAUUUUUCAAGUUCUAAUGGAUGUCUUAGUGUCAUAUAACAUUGAUUCAAGAGUCCUUGCUUGCACACACAAUAACAGCCAAAAUUCAAUAAACGCUUGUCAUGAGCAUGAGCUCGGACGGGAGCUUGAGUCCCAUAAGCUGCCCUUUUGUUACAUUCCUUGUGCUGCCAGAACACUGAAGGUUAUUAUUGAAGCAGGCCUGGAAAAUGUCAAACCAAUUUUGUCCAAGAUCCGUGAGUUUAUUCUUCAGACCAAUUCAAACCAGGAAAUGAUGGAGGACUUUAAGCACUGGACUGAAGUUUAUCAAGAAGGCUCAUGGAAACUCCCCUUUGACCAUUCAGCAAAUUGGAGCAGCGAUUAUAAUAUGCUUGAUGUGGUAAAGAAGGCACCUAAUGCAAUGGAUAGCACCAUCAAGAAGGUUGAAGAGAUCUUCGGACCAAGGGAUUGGGUUCUGAGUACUGCAGAAAAGUCGGUGAUCGAUUCGUUGCACUCGUACCUUGAGCCUUUUUUCAAAACUACUACCAACCUUUGUAAUUGCAAACUACCAACUGUUGGGCUGGUCUUCUUCUUCAUGGACCAUGUCACUGAGUUGAUCAACAUGUCCAAGAAUGGCUCAUCCCAUGACAGCAGCCACCAAGAAUGGCUCAAGAACAUUGCCAGUGACAUGUCCGAGACAGCUCGUAAGUUCAUAUCUGAAGCUUACAGCAUCUACACCUUCACAGCUGCAAUUCUUGACCCAAGGAUUAAAGGAGAGCUCAUCCCUGAAACCCUGAACUCUGCACGUAACUUAGAAGGUGCAAGGAACCAUUUUGUCAGGGACUACAGCAACACCUUCCAAGCUGUUGGAAAUGGUCAUGGUGCUCAGGACACCACGGAGGAAGCUGGCGCAUUCUCCUUUGCUGAAGAGAUUAUUCGUAAACGACGUCGGGUGAGCAUGACCACUGCUGCUGACGAGCUCUCUCAGUAUCUCGCGGAGCCCCCUGCACCAAUUUCCACUGAUGCCCUUGAAUGGUGGAGGGGGCAUUCCUCCCGCUACCCACGGCUCUCCUUGAUGGCCCGAGACUAUUUGGCGAUUCAGGGGACCUCAAUAGAUCCUGAAGAAUUGUUCACAAGUAAAGGGGACAACAUCCACAAGCAGCAGUACUGCCUUCCCCUUAGUAGUAUGCAGGCUACAAUGUGCAUAAAAUCAUGGAUGCAAAGUGGGUAUCUCUUCAAUUUUCAGUCAACCAUCAUAGAUUUCGAGAGUUUGGUCAAAUCUGCUACUGCUUCUGGUGAUAUUGAUGAUUCUAGCCUUCUUCAUAACUGAAUGAUCAUUUGCUACCUCAACGCUCCAAUACUUUUCUACUGGAAAAGGUGGACCUCUGAGUCAAAGGACUAAAGAAAUGGCAUGUUCACAAGACCAUCGCCGAUGAUUCAUUUUCUGAACAGGAACUUGUGCUCAUUCUACUGAUAAUAUGUUCAAUCAGUCCUCGAGAGAAAGGAAGCUGUUCUCCAUCAUUGAGCACCAGCGGCAUCUCCGUCCUCUGGUCACUCGCCAAUCGCCGUCCCAGUUGCAUUACAGAAUUGUUUGACCUGCAGAAAAACACCAGUUCUUGGACGAUGAUGACCCAAGAUCAUGUGCUACGCUAUCAAUGUUUUGUGGCAGAAAAUAGCUAGUGUCAGAGUACAGGGUCUUGUAAUCUAUCACAUCACGCCCCCCAAUUAAGACAUCUGACAGGCAGUCGUGGAGCCAUGCUGUAUUUUUACAAGCUCUCCAUCAGUUCGUGCAGAUCAGGUAGAGGUCGAUUCAUCUGGAUCUCUCUCCAUGUGGGAAGAAUCCUUACUUGCAAGGUCAUCCAUGCUUCACUGACCGACCAAAUGGCAAAACAAUGCUGCAUUUUUUUUCCAUCUACCUCAGAAGCUGCCCGUCUCGUUCAUUGGGAUUUGGGCUUGAUAUUA